rnacentral:rRNA from 1 species
UACAGAGGGUGCAAGCGUUAAUCGGAAUUACUGGGCGUAAAGCGUGCGUAGACGGUUACAUAAGUCGGGUGUGAAAGCCCCGGGCUCAACCUGGGAAUUGCAUUCGAGACUGCGUAGCUAGGGUGCGGAAGAGGGAAGCGGAAUUUCCGGUGUAGCGGUGAAAUGCGUAGAUAUCGGAAGGAACACCAGUGACGAAAGCGGCUUCCUGGUCCAGCACCGACGUUCAGGCACGAAAGCGUGGGGAGCAAACAGG